CACGUAGGGCGCAAGCGUUGUCCGGAAUUAUUGGGCGUAAAGAGCUCGUAGGCGGUCUGUUGCGUCCGCUGUGAAAACUCGGGGCUUAACCCCGAGCCUGCAGUGGAUACGGGCAGACUAGAGGUAGGUAGGGGAGAAUGGAAUUCCCGGUGUAGCGGUGAAAUGCGCAGAUAUCGGGAGGAACAUCAGUGGCGAAGGCGACCACCUGGACCAACACUGACGCUGAGGUGCGAAAGCGUGGGUAGCAAACAGG
rnacentral:rRNA from 1 species